GAUGAACGCUGGCGGCGUGCCUAAUACAUGCAAGUCGAGCGAACAGACGAGGAGCUUGCUCCUCUGACGUUAGCGGCGGACGGGUGAGUAACACGUGGAUAACCUACCUAUAAGACUGGGAUAACUUCGGGAAACCGGAGCUAAUACCGGAUAAUAUAUUGAACCGCAUGGUUCAAUAGUGAAAGACGGUUUUGCUGUCACUUAUAGAUGGAUCCGCGCCGCAUUAGCUAGUUGGUAAGGUAACGGCUUACCAAGGCGACGAUGCGUAGCCGACCUGGGAGGGUGAUCGGCCACACUGGAACUGAGACACGGUCCAGACUCCUACGGGAGGCAGCAGUAGGGAAUCUUCCGCAAUGGGCGAAAGCCUGACGGAGCAACGCCGCGUGAGUGAUGAAGGUCUUCGGAUCGUAAAACUCUGUUAUUAGGGAAGAACAAAUGUGUAAGUAACUAUGCACGUCUUGACGGUACCUAAUCAGAAAGCCACGACUAACUACGUG
rnacentral:rRNA from 1 species